GAGCAACCUGCCCUUAGCUCUGGGAUAACCCCGGGAAACCGGGGCUAAUACCGGAUACGUCCGUAAGGAGAAAGAUUUAUCGCUGAAGGAUCGGCCCGCGUCUGAUUAGCUAGUUGGUGGGGUAAUGGCCCACCAAGGCUACGAUCCGUAGCUGGUCUGAGAGGAUGAUCAGCCACACUGGGACUGAGACACGGCCCAGACCUCCGUACGGGAGGCAG
rnacentral:rRNA from 1 species